GGUUGUGAGAGCAAGAGCCCGGAGAUGGAUUCUGAGACACGAAUCCAGGCCCUACGGGGUGCAGCAGGCGCGAAAACUUUACAAUGCUGGCAACAGCGAUAAGGGAACCUCGAGUGCCAGGUUACAAAUCUGGCUGUCGAGAUGCCUAAAAAGCAUUUCAUAGCAAGGGCCGGGCAAGACCGGUGCCAGCCGCCGCGGUAACACCGGCGGCUCGAGUGGUAACCGUUAUUAUUGGGUCUAAAGGGUCUGUAGCCGGCCGGAUAAGUCUCUUGAGAAAUCUGGCAGCUUAACUGUCAGGCUUUCAGGAGAUACUGUCUGGCUCGAGGCCGGGAGAGGUGAGAGGUACUUCAGGGGUAGGGGUGAAAUCUUGUAAUCCUUGAAGGACCACCAGUGGCGAAGGCGUCUCACCAGAACGGACCUGACGGCAAGGGACGAAAGCUAGGGGCACGAACCGGAUUAGAUACCCGGGUAGUCCUAGCCGUAAACGAUACUCGCUAGGUGUCGGCCACGGUGCGACCGUUGUCGGUGCCGUAGGGAAGCCGUGAAGCGAGCCACCUGGGAAGUACGGCCGCAAGGCUGAAACUUAAAGGAAUUGGCGGGGGAGCACCACAACGGGUGGAGCUUGCGGUUUAAUUGGAUUCAACGCCGGAAAUCUUACCGGGACCGACAGCAAUAUGAAGGCCAGGCUGAAGACUUUGCCGGAUUAGCUGAGAGGUGGUGCAUGGCCGUCGUCAGUUCGUACUGUGAAGCAUCCUGUUAAGUCAGGCAACGAGCGAGACCCA
rnacentral:rRNA from 1 species